CCAAUAGCGUAUAUUAAAGUUGUUGCAGUUAAAAAGCUCGUAGUUGAAUUUCGGGACUAACAGAUUGGUCGUGCCUUUGGUGUGUACUGGUCUAGUUGGUUUCUCCCUUCUGACGAACCACGAUGUCAUUAAUUUGGUGUCGUGGGAAAUCAGGACUGUUACUUUGAAAAAAUUAGAGUGUUUAAAGCAAGCGUUAGCUU
rnacentral:rRNA from 1 species